rnacentral:misc_RNA from 1 species
AAGCAAUAAAACAAACUAUUCUGUCAUUGAGGUGUAAGCCGAAUUCAUGUUCGGCGCAAGCCGAAUAUGACAGAGUAAUACAGCGUAAGCUAGACUGUCAUUGAGGCGCCAGCCGAUAUUGACAGACUAGCAAACGUUGUAGAGAGCAUCAUGCAUCGCUAAGAUCUAUCUAUGCGAUGCAUGAUGCACUGUACAGAGCGCACCGUAGUGCAAACUAUGAUGCGUAUUUUAUUCUGUCACAAUCGGCUUACGCCUUAGUGACAGAAUGAGAUGCGCUGUACUAUUCAGUCAUAAUCGGCUAGCGCCUUUAUGACCGAAUAGUAUAGUCAUACACGAUAGAUGUUGACAAACGACAAAACAGU